AAAAGAGCUUUACCCUCUUUCCUCUCCACAUGGGAGGAACUCACCCAAUAUGAUUAAGAUUGCCCCUUGUUCCCAGCUUCAGGACCCAGCCUUGUCACUCUCCAAGCCUGCCCUGGAGCUCUGGCUUGAAAGAUUGUUUCCAGGGAAAAUACCUACAUAAUUUAAAAAGGAAAGGUGUCAAUCAAAGACUGGACUGUUGGCUAGAAGAACAUCAUCAUUAUCAUCACCUUCAUUGUCAAAAUAAUGGAAACUCCAUGAUGAAGUUACCUGUAUUUCCUCCUCUUUAUAAAGAAAUGAACCACAGAGAAGGUAAGUAGCAUGUCUGAAGUCACACAGCUAGUUUGUGGUUGAGUGGGGAUUUGAAUUCAGGCAGUCUGACUCUACAGCUUGAACAUUAAACCAUCAUGCUGAACUGCCUCCCGUUACACAUUUAACCUCUCUCCCCUCUCUCCCCUUCCUUCCUCCAUCCAACCCCACAGAUUUCAUGCUGUCCCUCUAAAAGGCCCACUUGGUCUGCCUUUGCUUCAGCAUUGUCCUGUAGCUUGAUUGCUUUCCCCAACUCUUUUCC